AACCAAAUAAAAGUCCUAUUUGAUCUUGAGUGUGGUGUAGUUUACAAGUGGACAUGAUGGAUUGGGGUGAUGGUGUGGUAAUUUUAAUUCUCAGUAUUUGGUUUUCCAUUCAUGAGACUAUUUAUUUAUUCUUUCAUUAUAGCGUUUUUCCAAAAAAUUAGUAUGCGGGAUAUUUUGCCUUUGAUUUACAUUAUUCUACUCGCAUAUAUUGAGAGUAAUUUUCACACCAUAUUCUGAGUGAUUUAUUUGUUGAAUGCAAUAACUGGUGAGAUUUGAGUUGAAGCAUGUUUCAGAAUUUCACUUUAAGGCUAAGGUUGUGUCUGUGUUGGCUAAACUUUUUCACACACUCCAAAUUCUGAAUGUCUUGAGAUAUCUUUACUUGCUGCUAGUGUCUUGAACUUUGAUUGAUUAUUUUGUUAAGAUUGUGAAAUUCAUGACUUGUUCUUUAACAUUAGCAUGAGAACGAAAGAAAUCCUUUGAGUAAAGAAAUUUUUUGACGUUUGUGGGUAAUAUUUCUAGAAAUUUUAAUUCUCAGUAUUUGAUAUUCCAUUCAUUAGACUCUUUCAUAUUAGCGUUUUUCAAAAAAAUUAGUAUGCGGGAUAUUUUGCCUUGGAUUUACAUUGUUCUACUCGCAUAUAUUGAGAGCAAUUUUUGCACCAUAUUCUGAGUGAUUUAUUUGUUGAGUGCAAUAACUUGUGAGAUUUGAGUCGAAGCAUGUUUCAGAAAGAGAUUUGGGUUAUAUUUCACUUUAAGGCUAAGAUUGUGUCUGUGUUUGCUAAACUUUUUUCACACACUCCAAAUUUUGAAUGUCAUGAGAUAUCUUUAUUUGCUGCUAGUGUCUUGAACUUUGAUUGAUUAUCUUGUUAAGGUUGUGAAAUUCAUGGCUGGUUCUUUAACUUUGGCAUGAGAGUGAAAGAAAUCCUUUUAGUAAAGAAAUUUUUGGAUGUUUGUGGGUAACAUCUUUGGAAACCCUCACGAGACUUUUACUCGUCCACGAGGGGUAACCUAUUGGAUUAAGGGCUUGUUGCAUGUGCUAAAUUCAAUCGUGAUUUCUUGCAGAAGUGAUUUAGAGUUGUUGCUUUUAUUUUACUUUUUGAUUUUAUUUUAGUCACCCUAAUUGCUAGGUUCUAGCAAUAAAGCUGGUUGGGAGGUGUGAUGAAUGCUUAAAAUUACAUAGUUGUUCUAUGAAUUUUGGAUAUUAUAUUCAUUCUCUCAAUUUGUAUUUAAUUGUGAUUUAAUGAAUUUAAUUUAAAUUUGUAGAAAAACUACAUUUGAGCCUUCAACAAUAUCAAUUGCUCAACAAGGCCCAUAAGACUCGAUAUGCUUCUAAAUCAUCUCAUAACAUCCACAAAACCUCUCUCAAAGAUAAUAGCAAAAACGCUAAAUCUGACCGCAAUGUUGUCAAGGGUGCUCGGGCUGCUCGAAUUCAGCAAAACAAAUGUGAACUUUUAGACCCUGUUGUUGCUGAAGCUACACUGGACUUUCGAAAUCUUAACAAGAGAAAACUUUUAACUAAUUUCCUUACAUUUCUCCCUCAGGUAUGAUUUGAAAUUGGCAUGAUUCUUUGCUUGGGGUUUAGUUUCUUUAUUUGACUGAAUUUUCAGAUUUAGAAGUAGAAAAGAAGAAGUAUGAAACAUGUAUAUCAAAUAUUUUGAUUUGAAAAAUCGUUUCUAAGUGUGUUUCCAGCAUUGAUGUCUCUUGGGUCAUUUGUUCAGCUAUUUCCAUCUCUUGUUGACUUACCAAGUAAGCUUGUUUUUCAGGCAUGGUUGUUAAUUCUCUACACAGGUUUGGCUUUGCGAGAGAACAUACUUAGAGUGAAUGGAAGUGAUAUUCGCCCAUGGUAAUUUGAUAUGAUCUUAUAUGCAUUUGGUUGAAUUUUGUGCUAAGAUUGCCUUGCCUUUAUUCUUCAUCAUUUAAACUAUUUGUGUAUUUGUGAUUGAGAUUUUUUUAAAACAUAUUUUCAUAGUCAGACAUUAGUAAUUUCAUCUCCCAUGCCUUUCAGGAGGGAAAGUGAAUAUGCAAUUUUACUGGCAAUGAAUUUCUGCUAUAAAAUAGAGUUGCUAGAAGAAUCUUUUGACUUCAAUGCUUAAAAUUAUAGCAUGAUAUUCAGUAAAUGAAUUUAUACAGUUUGUUGUCAAACUGCAUAUUGCAAUGAAUUAGAAAAUGAACAGAGGGUACAUGGGCAAUUAGUUAGUUUUUACUUUUAAUUAGUACAUGGGCAAAAUUAUAAUUCUAUUAGAUGGAGUAAACAACACUAGUCAUUAUCAUUUUAUUUUUAUUAUUAUUAUUAUUAUUAUUAUUAUUUAUUUGAAUAACUAAACUAUUUUCAGCAGCAAAGAGUAGACACAAAUAUUGCAGAUGGCUGUGAUGCUCUGAAUCUGGGUGUGGCUGCUGAUAGCCUUUGGUUGUUUUUAUUUGUGGUGUUUGGCUUGGGGUUUGAUCUUGUAGUUGAAGGUUGGUAAUGGCGAAGAUUGCAUACCUCGUAAUGGACGAUGGAAUUUUAACAAGGUAUUCCCUUGGUUUCGUUAUGAUAAUGGAAGAGAAGUGUUCCAACUUUAGGUAGAGGGUUGCAGAAAUUGAUAAUUCUUUUACAUUCCCUAUUUUGCUUAAAUUCAGGAACUUUGUGAACUAAUUUGGCAGUUACUUGUUCUUGUUUUAUUCUUUUAAAGCAACUCUUUACCCCCAUCCGAAUAGAACGGUGGGAAGUUGUCAACUUCUCUGCUCAUUGUGAUACAAGUCAUCUUUCCUGAGAACUUAUUAACUGUGGAAGGAACAAGGGCUUUGUAAGUACCCUGUAUUUGUUUCUAUGAUGGGUAUUAUUGUUUCAAACAAGCUUUGCUUGAUAUAAUUAAUUGUUUUCUUUACACUCAGAAUAUUCCUUUUUGUCUUGAAGGAAGAACAUUAGAAUCCUUGAUUUUUUUAUUUUUUAUUUUUUAUUUUUACUAUAAUGCGAUGUUGGUUGUAGGCAUCAGGCUCAGGAUAAGCGGGUUUGUGUUUGCUUCAUGAUCCAAGCAUCAUAGCUUUUGUGUUGCUGCGGUUUUGACAAGUUUCUGGUUAUGCACUAGAAUUGUUUGUGGCAAGGUCUCAGAGAGGGAUUUUGGGAUUUUGGACUUGUUUUGUUUGUACUUAGCUCUUGUAAGUGUUGAAUAGAUCUGGGUCAUCCAUUUUUGUGGGGCCCAAAAAUGGGUUACCCAGAUCUGUUUGUGACAUGGCCUCCUCAGAUUUUUGAUCUUUGGAUCUGUUGUCUUUUAAAAUGAGGCCUUUGGCUGUCCUGUUUGCGUUUCUUCCUCUGUUUGGUUGAUUGAUUGAUUAAAUCUGUGUCAACAAUCUUGAGAUAUAAAUGUUAGUUUAAUGUGUGCAGGAGAUAAAUAAGAUGUGGGCAGGUUUUAGGUUAUUACAGACGGGCACGAUAUCUACUAGAGAUGAGCUCUUUUUUUGACUCUUGUGCAUCUAGAUAUUUGUAACACUAUUUGAUAUGAAUCUAUUUCUUGUUGGAUUUCAUUUGAUAUUUAAAAUGGCAUUCUUAAUGGAUAGGAUGUGCUCUUUCAAGUUCAUCAGUUGACAGCGAUGCUAACCAAUUUCUUAUUCUCUAUGGCAAGAGACUCCAUGUGAGCUACUAAGCAGAUUCUGACGCUGUAUCUACGGAAUGGGAAGUUGAGAGUGAUGAUGAAACUGAGGAAGAAUCUGAAUGUGGGUUAACAACUUUGGUUUACAUGCCUCUUAACAGUUUUCCAUCUACAGUUUCUAAAGAAACUUUUGAACUCAAGAUCAAGGCUGCAGCAAAGAGGAUCUAUGUUGAUGUUGAUUGGCAAUGGUGGAAAACAGUUCGGGCUGCAUCAGAAGAUUUGAUUUUGUUUUUUUGGAAAUAUUUUGACAUAGGAUUUUGGUAAAUGAUUUAUAGAUUAGAUGUUUAGCAUCAAAA